rnacentral:misc_RNA from 1 species
AAAAAGGGGAGGCAUUUAAUUUCAAAAUCUUAAAAAUCAUUUGUGGAAAGUGGCUCAUGUGCAUUUUUUCCAAUGAAGAUGUUAUCAUAGACAAUGGCUGCAAUGGCAGCACCAAUCAGUGGACCCACCCAAUAGACCCAGUGACUAGUCCAUGUCCAGCUUACAACAGCAGGGCCAAAGGAAACUGCUGGGUUCAUGGAUGCACC